UACGAAGGGGGCUAGCGUUGUUCGGAAUUACUGGGCGUAAAGCGCGCGUAGGCGGUCAUCUUUGUCAGAGGUGAAAUCCCGAGGCUCAACUUCGGAAUUGCCUUUGAAACGGGAUCGCUUGAGUCCGAGAGAGGAUGGCGGAAUUCCUAGUGUAGAGGUGAAAUUCGUAGAUAUUAGGAAGAACACCGGUGGCGAAGGCGGCCAUCUGGCUCGGUACUGACGCUCAGGCGCGAAAGCGUGGGGAGCAAACAGG
rnacentral:rRNA from 1 species